UACGGAGGGGGCUAGCGUUGUUGGGAAUUACUGGGCGUAAAGCGCACGUAGGCGGCUUUGUAAGUUAGAGGUGAAAGCCCGGGGCUCAACUCCGGAAUUGCCUUUAAGACUGCAUCGCUAGAAUUGUGGAGAGGUAAGUGGAAUUCCGAGUGUAGAGGUGAAAUUCGUAGAUAUUCGGAAGAACACCAGUGGCGAAGGCGACUUACUGGACACAUAUUGACGCUGAGGUGCGAAAGCGUGGGGAGCAAACAGG
rnacentral:rRNA from 1 species